GGUCGUUUUUAGCUCAGCUUGGGAAGAGCACCUCCCUUAACAAGGAGGGGGGUCACUGGGUUCGAUCCCAGUAACGACCACCA
rnacentral:tRNA from 1 species